AAUAAGUGCAGUUUUACACUAUUCACGUUCAACGUUUGACCGUUCGUCUUAUUUAAAAAUUUUUUAUGAUUAGUAUUUUUAUUGCUAUUAGAUGAUAAAACAUGAAUAGUAUUUUAUGUGUGACUAAAUAUUUUUAAUUUUUUCACAAAUUUUUCAAAUAAAACGGACGGUCAAACGUUGGGCACGGAUAUCCACGGCUGCACUUAUU
rnacentral:pre_miRNA from 1 species